rnacentral:rRNA from 1 species
CAAUAGCGUAUAUUUAAGUUGCUGCAGUUAAAAAACUCGUAGUUGGAUUUCGGGUGGGAAUGGCCGGUCCGCCGUUUCGGUGUGCACUUGCUACGCCCACCUUGCUGCCGGGGACGUGCUCUUGAGUUCACGCUCGGGACACGGAGUCGGCGAGGUUACUUUGAGUAAAUUAGAGUGUUCAAAGCAGGCCUACGCUCUGAAUACAUUAGCAUGGAAUAACACGAUAGGACUCUGGCCUAUCUUGUUGGUCUGUAGGACCGGAGUAAUGAUUAAGAGGGACAGUCGGGGGCAUUCGUAUUUCAUUGUCAGAGGUGAAAUUCUUGGAUUUAUGAAAGACGAACUACUGCGAAAGCAUUUGCCAAGGAUGUUUUCAUUAA